rnacentral:lncRNA from 1 species
AUGGCGUCGGUGUCCACUGAAAAUUCCGGUUUCGAAACUGCCCGUUUUCGAGCUCAACUUUGGCUCGAUUUUCUGGUUGAUUCACUUGGAAUCAAGGCUGGAUAUGGAUAUUUAUGGAAAUAGGAGAGAGACAUGAAGUGUUUGCAAGUUAUGGCGUUGGAAUUGGUGGCUAGACGAAGGAGAAAUCGGAGUUUGAAAAGUGCUGCUCGUCAAAUUCGC